GCCAGAGAUGGCUUAGUGCGUACGAAAGAGAACCGUAACACAGGUGCUGCAUGGCUGUCGUCAGCUCGUGUCGUGAGAUGUUGGGUUAAGUCCCGCAACGAGCGCAACCCUUGUCAUUAGUUGCUACAUUUAGUUGGGCACUCUAAUGAGACUGCCGGUGACAAACCGGGAGGAAGGUGGGGAUGACGUCAAGUCCUCAUGGCCCUUAUAGGUAGGGCUACACACGUCAUACAAUGGAUGGUACAGAGGGUCGCCAACCCGCGAGGGGGAGCCAAUCCCAUAAAGCCAGUCGUAGUCCGGAUCGCAGUCUGCAACUCGACUGCGUGAAGUCGGAAUCGCUAGUAAUCGUGGAUCAGAAUGUCACGGUGAAUACGUUCCCGGGUCUU
rnacentral:rRNA from 1 species